GACAAACGCUGGCGGCGUGCUUAACACAUGCAAGUCGAACGGUAAGGCCCUUCGGGGUACACGGGUGGCGAACGGGUGAGUAACACGUGGGUGAUCUGCCCUGCACUUCGGGAUAAGCCUGGGAAACUGGGUCUAAUACCGGAUAGGACCCUGGGAUGCAUGUCCUGGGGUGGAAAGCUUUUGCGGUGUGGGAUGGGCCCGCGGCCUAUCAGCUUGUUGGUGGGGUGAUGGCCUACCAAGGCGACGACGGGUAGGCGGCCUGAGAGGGUGACCGGCCACACUGGGACUGAGAUACGGCCCAGACUCCUACGGGAGGCAGCAGUGGGGAAUAUUGCACAAUGGGCGCAAGCCUGAUGCAGCGACGCCGCGUGAGGGAUGACGGCCUUCGGGUUGUAAACCUCUUUCAGCACCGACGAAGCGCAAGUGACGGUAGGUGCAGAAGAAGGACCGGCCAACUACGUGCCAGCCGCCGCCGUAA
rnacentral:rRNA from 1 species